rnacentral:rRNA from 1 species
UACGGAGGGUGCAAGCGUUAUCCGGAUUCACUGGGUUUAAAGGGUGCGUAGGCGGGCAGGUAAGUCAGUGGUGAAAUCCUGGAGCUCAACUCCAGAACUGCCAUUGAUACUAUCUGUCUUGAAUAUUGUGGAGGUAAGCGGAAUAUGUCAUGUAGCGGUGAAAUGCUUAGAUAUGACAUAGAACACCCAUUGCGAAGGCAGCUUACUACGCAUAUAUUGACGCUGAGGCACGAAAGCGUGGGGAUCAAACAGGAUUAGAUACCCUGGUAGUCCACGCCCUAAACGAUGGAUACUCGACAUACGCGAUACACUGUGUGUGUCUGAGCGAAAGCAUUAAGUAUCCCACCUGGGAAGUACGUUCGCAAGAAUGAAACUCAAAGGAAUUGGCGGGGGUCCGCACAAGCGGUGGAGUAUGUGGUUUAAUUCGAUGAUACGCGAGGAACCUUACCUGGGCUAGAAUGCUGGGAGACCGCUAGUGAAAGCUAGUUUUGUAGCAAUACACUGCCAGUAAGGUGCUGCAUGGCCGUCGUCAGCUCGUGCCGUGAGGUGUUGGGUUAAGUCCCGCAACGAGCGCAACCCCUAUCUUUAGUUGCCAACAGGUAAUGCUGGGAACUCUAAAGAAACUGCCGCCGUAAGGUGUGAGGAAGGAGGGGAUGAUGUCAGGUCAUCAUGGCCUUUAUGCCCAGGGCUACACACGUACUACAAUGGGGAAGACAAAGGGCUGCAACAUAGCGAUAUGAAGCCAAUCCCAAAAACUUCCUCUCAGUUCAGAUUGCAGGCUGCAACUCGCCUGCAUGAAGCUGGAAUCGCUAGUAAUCGUAUACCAGCAAUGAUACGGUGAAUACGUUCCCGGACCU